rnacentral:sRNA from 1 species
UGUAUGGGACACUUACCUACAGCGAACAA